UACGUAGGGGGCGAGCGUUUGUCCGGAUUUAUUGGGCGUAAAGAGCGUGUAGGCUGUUCGGUAAGUCUGCCGUGAAAACCUGAGGCUCAACCUCGGGCGUGCGGUGGAUACUGCCGGGCUAGAGGACGGUAGAGGCGAGUGGAAUUCCUGGUGUAGCGGUGAAAUGCGCAGAUAUCAGGAGGAACACCGGUGGCGAAGGCGGGUCUCUGGGCCGAUACUGACGCUGAGGAGCGAAAGCGUGGGGAGCGAACAGG
rnacentral:rRNA from 1 species